GUAUUGGGAAGGCAGAUAAAAUGCCAGGUCUGGACUGCCUCUGGGGAUAACCUCACCCUGUGGGAUGUGAAUGAAUAGCAUCUUGCCUGGUAAAUCCACAGGAAUUGAUAAGGCGGGCGCAGUUCUCCCAAACAGGCCUUUUCUCUUUAAGCUCUAGCUGUGGUUUCUGCAGCAAUUUUGUUUUUGCCUUGAAAGAGGUGCUCUGGAUUAUCAGACCUCCAUGUAUGACAAUUUGUACCUGCAUGGAAUUGAAGACUCGGAGGCUGAAGAAUAAUGUGAUGUGUUACCCAAGAUGGUGUGAACAGAGCUUCAAGCCAAUGGAGAAGACUAGGCCUAAAUAGCUGACCUGGUGAAGUGACACAUAAAGCCACACCUGGAGUGCCACCUCCUCAGCAGUCUUUCUCAGUGCCAAUGCAUUUAUGGCUGGUUCAGCGGAUUCCUACACAAGCAGGCCGUCUGACUCCGAUGUCUCUUUGGAAGAGGACCGGGAAGCAAUUCGACAGGAGAGAGAACAGCAAGCAGCUAUCCAGCUUGAGAGAGCAAAGUCCAAACCUGUAGCAUUUGCCGUGAAGACAAAUGUGAGCUACUGCGGCGCCCUGGACGAGGAUGUGCCUGUUCCAAGCACAGCUAUUUCCUUUGAUGCUAAAGACUUUCUACAUAUUAAAGAGAAAUAUAACAAUGAUUGGUGGAUAGGAAGGCUAGUGAAAGAGGGCUGUGAAAUUGGCUUCAUUCCAAGCCCACUCAGAUUGGAGAACAUACGGAUUCAGCAAGAACAAAAAAGAGGACGUUUUCAUGGAGGGAAAUCAAGUGGAAAUUCUUCUUCAAGUCUUGGAGAAAUGGUAUCUGGGACAUUUCGAGCAACUCCCACAUCAACAGCAAAACAGAAGCAAAAAGUGACGGAGCACAUUCCUCCUUAUGAUGUUGUGCCGUCAAUGCGUCCGGUGGUGUUAGUGGGGCCGUCACUGAAAGGUUACGAGGUACAAAUAUCAUCUGUUACUCUUCAGUUCUUGAUCGAGCACCCAGGAGACAGUCAUGUUGAUGCUUGCUCCUCAAGGGUCUGUUUCCACGUGGGUUCUGAUGGAAGCCAGUGCUCAGCAUGGGAAGGCAAUGGGUAUCGUGUGGGGCUCAUGAGGCCCUCUGCCCUUUCUUUCCUCUCUUGCACACUUCUCAUCUUUUAUGAAUUACAUUGUUUAGAAAUACCUCCCUCAAAAUAUUUACAAUGGGAAGAUCUGGUCAAAGAUUUGCUAUACAUUAAAUGCAAAGAAAAGGACUUUAUCUCUCUUGACCAUUCUCAUUAUUAUUAGAAGUAAUAGAGAAUGAACAGCACAAGAGGACAAACAAUCAAUCUUCCAGCAAACGCAAACCUUUAAAGCCCAGAGUUCACCCUGCUGGGUUUUUAAGAUGAUGGCAUAUGCCACCAAAUCCUUCUCUCCUUAUUUAUUUUAAAGGGCACAUGUUUUAAAAGACCACUAAAAACAUUAGUGAACUUUGGAGAUUAAACAAAACCAUGUGACAAGGAAAAGAGUAGAGACUUCGUUUCAGAUGUUUGUUUUGACUUUGUGCUAGCAUGGAUUAAAAAAUAGGUAGAUGUGACAUUAAACUCUGAAAGUGAGCAGCCUCCAGGGCACCAUUCCCGUCGAGCUAGGACAAUGUGUGGCACAUAGUAGGCACUCAGUACACAUUUGCUGAAUGAAUUAAUGAAUCUCUUUCAGGCAGAUCUAAGAAUCCUUGCUCUAUCCCCCUCUUUCUCUCUUGUCUUUCUCAGAGUUGGAAAUGUCAGAGGGAUGAGCAGGAGAGUGGUCUACAAAAAUCCAGCCAUGGGCAUGGAGAAUUUCUGCCAACAUACACAAACUAGCAGGAAGGCUGAGUCCAGUGCUGGCCUCAGUUCUCUAGCUGCUCCUCACUGAAGGCAGGCACAACUCAGGCGUGCCAAGGAUACCCAGCACCUGUGUACAAAGCCAGCCUGUUGUCUCCUGGCAGCAGUUCUAUCCCCUAACGAGGGAAGAGGGAAGAGGGUCUGGUGAACACUGCUGGUUUAUUCCUCAACACCCUGGAGGAGAACCAAGGGGGGUGGAAAUUAGCAAUUGCACAUGGUUAAGCAUGAAAAACACCUUCCAUGGUAACCUACCCCUAGGAGACGAAUGGCUGCAAUAAGGUCUUGGCUCAUAGUGCCCUUCCCUCCCUCCUCUCUCACUUUUGACUUCUCUCUCUCUCUCUCUGCGUGUGUUUGCCUCAUUCUUUUUUUCUCACCUCUGCAAAGGUAACAGACAUGAUGCAGAAAGCCCUCUUUGAUUUCCUGAAGCACAGGUUUGAUGGGAGGAUAUCAAUAACGAGAGUGACAGCUGACAUUUCUCUUGCUAAGAGGUCUGUCCUAAAUAAUCCCAGCAAGAGAGCAAUAAUUGAACGUUCGAACACCCGGUCCAGCUUAGCGGAAGUACAAAGUGAAAUUGAAAGAAUCUUUGAGUUGGCAAGAUCUUUGCAACUGGUUGUUCUUGAUGCAGACACCAUCAAUCACCCAGCACAACUUAUAAAGACUUCCUUAGCACCAAUUAUUGUUCAUGUAAAAGUCUCAUCUCCAAAGGUUUUACAGCGGUUGAUUAAAUCUAGAGGAAAGUCACAAAGUAAACACUUGAAUGUUCAACUGGUGGCAGCUGAUAAACUUGCACAAUGCCCCCCAGAAAUGUUUGAUGUUAUAUUGGAUGAAAAUCAGCUUGAGGACGCGUGUGAACAUCUAGGGGAGUACCUGGAGGCGUACUGGCGUGCCACCCACACAACCAGUAGCACACCCAUGACCCCACUGCUGGGAAGGAAUUUGGGCUCCACAGCACUUUCACCAUAUCCCACAGCAAUUUCUGGGUUACAGAGUCAGCGAAUGAGGCACAGCAACCACUCCACAGAGAACUCUCCAAUUGAAAGACGAAGUCUAAUGACCUCUGAUGAAAAUUAUCACAAUGAAAGGGCUCGGAAGAGUAGGAACCGCUUGUCUUCCAGUUCUCAGCAUAGCCGAGAUCAUUACCCUCUUGUGGAAGAAGAUUACCCUGACUCAUACCAGGACACUUACAAACCCCAUAGGAACCGAGGAUCACCUGGGGGAUAUAGCCAUGACUCCCGACAUAGGCUUUGAGUCUAAUGAAACAAAAAAUAUUCAUCUGUUGACAAUUUGCCAUAGCAGUGCUAGGAUAAACCAAUCAUCUUAACUUGGCUAACAUAGCACAGUAUUUACUGUGCUAAUGGGCUGCUGUCAUUUUAUGCUAAGUAAGGGGCAAAAAAAAAAAAAUUACGUUAUGCCCUUGAGUCUAGAUGGAUAUUAGAUGCCCGAUCAUAUAGAUAUUUUUAAGUGCAACAUUUACAUGAUAACAGUACAUUUUGUUUUCUUCAUAGAUUUAGACACAUCAAUUUGUAAUUUAGGGUACUUACAAGGCACAUAUAAAAUAAUUUCCCAUGCCGGAAAUUCCAAAUGACCAGUUCCAGUUGGAACCAAUUUAUAAACCAAUUCCUGUUGGAAUUUGGGUGAACUGACUAGAAAGUCUACUUGAGCA
rnacentral:sRNA from 1 species